rnacentral:lncRNA from 1 species
UAUCAGAAGAGCUAAAGGCAGCGUGUGAGGUGCGCUGGCCGACCUUUACUCUGUUUAAAUCGACAGAGACGGUACCUUUGAAUACUCAAGCAGACACUCGUUGUCAACUUAAUUUCAGGAAGUGCACAGCACAGCAAUGCUCAGGGUAUCAGCGCUGUGUGGGAUUUUGCUCCUGUUUUAUGGGAGCCUGGCAAAGCCCAACCAUCAACUGGGAAAACCUGAGGCAGAUCAGAAGAGUGUAAGCCUGCUGCUUUCUGACAAAGGCCUAAAGUGGGCGGAGCCUCUUGAUUCGCUGGACCCCUCCCUGCUGAUACAAAAGACUAUACAAGCAGCCGUGAGGCCGCCCACAAAAGCCAAAAAACUAAAUCAGCAUGAGGGGCCGCAUGCAGAGCAGCAGCCAGAGGAGGACAGGGAUGCCCUUUACCACGGUGAAGGUACUAAAGGAGUGGAGGUUUCUCCGGGGCAGCUGCUGUUAGAUGUUCUGAAGUCUGCAGGUCAACAAAGGCAUGCAGACCGCAACCAACCUGAGGUGGACAUGGAUCACAUCUACCAUAGAUACUAAACGACACAACACGAGUGUAUAAAAGUGUAUAAGUAGAUUUAUCAUAUCAUAGAUUUAUCAUAUCAUAGAUAUGUGCUUUGUGAUUAUUAUGCACACAUAUCAGCACAGUGUGACAG